ensembl:lncRNA
UGUGUGUGUGUGUGUGUGUGUGUGUGUGUGUGUGUGUGUGUGUGUGUGUGUGCACAUGAAAGCAAGAGCACGCUCGUGUGUGUGAACCCCAGUAGGUUGUAUGUAAGUAGGGGAAGCGAGCCUGUUUCUGUAGCAUGAGGCAGCUUGAUGUACCAGUACACCCCCUGGACAGGACACUAUCUUGUCUCCUGUUUCUGUAGCAUGAGGCAGCUUGAUGUACCAGUACACCACCCUGGACUGGACACUAGUCUUUCUCCUGUUUCUGUAGUGAGGCAGCUUGAUGUACCAGUACACCACCCUGGACUGGACACUAGUCUUUCUCCUGUUUCUGUAGCAUGAGGCAGCUUGAUGUACCAGUACACCCCCUGGACAGGACACUAUCUUGUCUCCUGUUUCUGUAGCAUGAGGCAGCUUGAUGUACCAGUACACCCCCUGGACUGGACACUAGUCUUUCUCCUGUUUCUGUAGUGAGGCAGCUUGAUGUACCAG